AGACAAAGUGUUUGGAAGCGGCC
rnacentral:siRNA from 1 species